AUGGUCAUUGUCAAGGAGAACUACCUGCUUAGAUUCAUCUCUCCCAUCUCUAGCCACCAAGCACUUGGCCGCCAGCCUCAUGGAUGCGCGGCGAAGGUAGGAAGAGGACCGCCGCCGCCGCUACCAGAACAUAUUCAGGCAAAUGGUUGUCAUCUGUGGUGCCGAAAAAGUGAUUGGAGACCCUUGCUGGAGAGGGGGUGCUGCGACCUUGAGAGCGUGCCGACUGGAGGGUGCCGGUCAAGGAGAGCGAGCCUGCUCCCACAGUCCCACCUUCAUGAGCGGGUUCUGCUUGCCCCAUCCGUCGAGUGGGGCCUUCCUCCUGCUGUUCUUCUACAGGAUUCAGCUUCAUCACCUGAAUCCUGGUGA
rnacentral:rRNA from 1 species